UGCAUAUUAGUAAUAUAUUCUGUAGUUAGGACGUGCAUUAAAUAUAAUUUUAGUCCACGCCUUCAAAGUGAUUUAGAAGAGCGGGUUUAUAUAAGUUCUGAGACUGAUUCAAAUGUCCAAAUACCACAUGUUGAAAAUGGAAGUUACCGAAGAACAGCCUCAGAGGCUGAUUACAAAAUAUAUUCAUAUAGCAGCUGUUGUUUCUGCUUAUUGGGUAACUUCUAUUUCAAUGGUAUUUGUCAACAAAUAUCUGUUAAGUAGUCCAGAAGUUCAA